rnacentral:rRNA from 1 species
GACGAACGCUGGCGGCGUGCCUAAUACAUGCAAGUAGAACGCUGAAGAGAGGAGCUUGCUCUUCUUGGAUGAGUUGCGAACGGGUGAGUAACGCGUAGGUAACCUGCCUUGUAGCGGGGGAUAACUAUUGGAAACGAUAGCUAAUACCGCAUAACAAUGGAUGACACAUGUCAUUUAUUUGAAAGGGGCAAUUGCUCCACUACAAGAUGGACCUGCGUUGUAUUAGCUAGUAGGUGAGGUAAUGGCUCACCUAGGCGACGAUACAUAGCCGACCUGAGAGGGUGAUCGGCCACACUGGGACUGAGACACGGCCCAGACUCCUACGGGAGGCAGCAGUAGGGAAUCUUCGGCAAUGGGGGCAACCCUGACCGAGCAACGCCGCGUGAGUGAAGAAAGUUUUCGGAUCGUAAAGCUCUGUUGUAAGUCAAGAACGGGUGUGAGAGUGGAAAGUUCACACUGUGACGGUAGCUUACCAGAAAGGGACGGCUAACUACGUG